CACGUAGGGUGCGAGCGUUGUCCGGAAUUAUUGGGCGUAAAGAGCUCGUAGGCGGUGUGUCGCGUCGGCCGUGAAAACCUGCAGCUUAACUGUGGGCUUGCGGUCGAUACGGGCAGACUGGAGGUAUGCAGGGGAGAACGGAAUUCCUGGUGUAGCGGUGAAAUGCGCAGAUAUCAGGAGGAACACCGGUGGCGAAGGCGGUUCUCUGGGCAUGUCCUGACGCUGAGGAGCGAAAGUGUGGGGAGCGAACAGG
rnacentral:rRNA from 1 species